GACGAACGCUGGCGGCGUGCUUAACACAUGCAAGUCGAACGGAAAGGCGCUGCUUUUGUGGGGUGCUCGAGUGGCGAACGGGUGAGUAACACGUGAGUAACAUGCCCUUGUCUUUGGGAUAACUUCAGGAAACUGGGGCUAAUACCGGAUAGGAGAUCCUGAAGCAUGGUGGGGGAUGGAAAGAUACGGCGGUUGGGGAUGGACUCGCGGCUUAUCAGCUGGUUGGGGGGGUAGUGGCUUACCAAGGCUUUGACGGGUAGCCGGCCUGAGAGGGUGACCGGCCACAUUGGGACUGAGAGACGGCCCAGACUCCUACGGGAGGCAGCAGUGGGGAAUAUUGCACAAUGGGCGGAAGCCUGAUGCAGCAACGCCGCGUGCGGGAUGACGGCCUUCGAGUUGUAAACCGCUUUCUCCGGUGACGAAGCGUUAGUGACGGUAAUGGGUAAGGAAGCACCGGCUAACUACGUG
rnacentral:rRNA from 1 species